AGAGUUUGAUCAUGGCUCAGGACGAACGCUGGCGGCGUGCUUAACACAUGCAAGUCGAACGGAAAGGCCCGCUUGCGGGUACUCGAGUGGCGAACGGGUGAGUAACACGUGGGUGAUCUGCCCUGGACUCUGGGAUAAGCCUGGGAAACUGGGUCUAAUACCGGAUAUGACCUUACAUCGCAUGGUGUUUGGUGGAAAGCUUUUGCGGUUCAGGAUGGGCCCGCGGCCUAUCAGCUUGUUGGUGGGGUAAUGGCCUACCAAGGCGACGACGGGUAGCCGACCUGAGAGGGUGAUCGGCCACACUGGGACUGAGACACGGCCCAGACUCCUACGGGAGGCAGCAGUGGGGAAUAUUGCACAAUGGGCGCAAGCCUGAUGCAGCGACGCCGCGUGAGGGAUGACGGCCUUCGGGUUGUAAACCUCUUUCACCAGGGACGAAGCGCAAGUGACGUACCGGGAAAAGC
rnacentral:rRNA from 1 species